rnacentral:rRNA from 1 species
GACAGAGGGUGCAAGCGUUGUCCGGAAUUAUUGGGCGUAAAGAGCUCGUAGGCGGUCUGUCGCGUCGGACGUGAAAAUCCAGGGCUCAACCCUGGACCUGCGUUCGAUACGGGCAGACUAGAGUUCGGUAGGGGAGACUGGAAUUCCUGGUGUAGCGGUGAAAUGCGCAGAUAUCAGGAGGAACACCGAUGGCGAAGGCAGGUCUCUGGGCAUUAACUGACGCUGAGGAGCGAAAGCAUGGGGAGCGAACAGG